rnacentral:rRNA from 1 species
CCCUUAGAUGUUCUGGGCCGCACGCGCGCUACACUGAUGCAUUCAACGAGCCUAUCCUUGACCGACAGGUCCGGGUAAUCUUUGAAUCUGCAUCGUGACGGGGAUAGAUUAUUGCAAUUAUUAAUAUUCAACGAGGAAUGCCUAGUAGGCGCAAGUCAUCAGCUUGCGUCGAUUACGUCCCUGCCCUUUGUACACACCGCCCGUCGCUCCUACCGAUUGGGUGUGCUGGUGAAAUGUUCGGAUCGGCCGUUUGUCGCGGUUUCCGCGUCAUGUGGCUGAGAAGUUCAUUAAACCCUCCCACCUAGAGGAAGGAGAAGUCGUAACA